CAGUAGCCGCGGGAACACGAAGGGUGCAAGCGUUAAUCGGAAUUACUGGGCGUAAAGCGCACGCAGGCGGUUUGUUAAGUCAGAUGUGAAAUCCCCGAGCUUAACUUGGGAACUGCAUUUGUGACUGCACGGCUAGAGUGUGUCAGAGGGGGGUAGAAUUCCACGUGUAGCAGUGAAAUGCGUAGAUAUGUGGAGGAAUACCGAUGGCGAAGGCAGCCCCCUGGGAUAACACUGACGCUCAUGCACGAAAGCGUGGGGAGCAAACAGGAUUAGAUACCCGUGUAGUCCCUGUCUCUUAUAC
rnacentral:rRNA from 1 species